rnacentral:rRNA from 1 species
CAGUAGCCACGGUAACACGAAGGGGGCUAGCGUUGCUCGGAAUUACUGGGCGUAAAGGGAGCGUAGGCGGAUCGUUAAGUUGGGGGUGAAAGCCCGGGGCUCAACCUCGGAAUUGCCUUCAAUACUGGCGAUCUUGAGUAUGGAAGAGGUAUGUGGAACUCCGAGUGUAGAGGUGAAAUUCGUAGAUAUUCGGAAGAACACCAGUGGCGAAGGCGACAUACUGGUACAUUACUGACGCUGAGGCUCGAAAGCGUGGGGAGCAAACAGGAUUAGAUAUCCCCGUAGUCCCUGUCUCUUAUAC